GGCUCAGUGGUCUAGUGGUAUGAUUCCUGCUUCGGGUCGCUCCCUUCCAUUAAUUGUACAUGGGAAUGCAGGAGGCCCCGGGUUCGAAUCCCGGCUGAGCCC